rnacentral:lncRNA from 1 species
CAUUGGUCUUGGUCCAGUAGAGGGCGGCGUUGUUGUUGAGGUAGAUGACGCCGGCGGUCGUGGUGCCCAUGUAGGUGCCGUGAACGCUCUUCAAAGUCCACUGGUCGCCGGGGUUGAUGAUCACGUCCCACUGCUCCCACGAACCGACCGAGGUGGCCUCGGCACGCACCCACCCGCCCGGAUCGGCUCCGAGGUAGCGAUUGUUGAACCCCUUGAAGGUGUACUUGCCGUUGGACAAUCGACUCACCGCCCACUUUUCCUUGUACGAGGCGCCGUACCACAGCGAGGCCACGCUGCCGUCCUCCUGGGGCGUCAACUGCUUGCCGCUGAUGGGCGACACCAGCGUCACCAACUGCGUCAGAGGCUGCGCCGACGGCGUGGGCGUCCUUGAAGGCGAGGGCGUCCUCGACGACGUGGGCGACGGCGGCGGUGUGCUAGAGGGCGUGGGCGCCACCGGAUGGUUGUACUCGAUGAUGACGCCGCCGUCGGCGCCCGGCGCGUUCAUGGCGUUGGCGCCGAUGGGCGGGCACGAUCUGCCCGAGCCGCCACCCGAGCCGCUGUUGGCCGGCGGGGGCUGACGUCCUUCCGCGGUGCGAUAGCCGUAUCCGCCAUUGCCGUUGAAGCCGGCGGCGCCGCCCCACGUAAAGCAAUCCAUAUAGAUGCCGCUCACGGUGCCCUGACCGCCGCCCCAGUUGCGUCCGGGCGACGUCCACCCGGCGCCGUUGAUAUAGGGCUGGCCGGGGUCGCCGCCGACGUGGCCAUAGCCCGAGCCGGCGCCGCCCGCCUUGACGUCGCCCACGAGGGCGCCCUGGGACGGACCCGAGAGCGCAUUGGUGUCGGCGGCGCCCGGAGGGUUGCCUGUGCCGGGCGUCGUGCCGCCCGCCGACGAGGCAGCGCCGCCGCCGGCACCGCCGCGGCAAGUGUCCCACUCGUAAAAGGCCGCCCACGCGCCGCCGCCGCCAUAGGCCGUGGCGCGGAACAACUCGGUGCCAUCGGGUCCCACGGCCACGACCGAGGUCUGGCCGCCGUCGCCGCCAGAGCCGCCGUCGUAAUUGUCGUCGCUGAGCGUCGUGCCGCCCUUGCCCACGGUGACGAUCCACUGGACGUCGCUCGGUGCGACGGUCCAUUGGGCGUCGCCCACCGUGCGAUUGAGGACGGCCGAGCCGCUGCCGCCGCCGGCGCCGCAGCGAAAGGACGACGCAGACCCGCCGCCGCCGCCCCAGAGCGAGGUCGAGAUGCCGGUGGCGCCCACCGGCGCGGUCCAGUUGGUCGACGCACCCAGAAAGACCGUGUAGCGGUAGGCAUCGAUCGGCGCGGCCAUGCAGCACAAAAGGGCCGCGAGCGCCACGGCGGCCUUGCAAGCCAUGGACGUCAUCUUUGGCGGGCGCGAGACGGCGUGCACGAGCGCUGCGAGCAUGCAAGACGAGUGCGUGCGCUUGGGUUUGCCCGUGGACGUCCUUGGCGACGGGUGGUUUAUUGUAGGGAGCACGACGGCCGACGACCGUUGUCUUGCGGUGUGUGUGUGUGCCGCGAGGGUUGAGCCAAAAAUACGACGGCACAGCAGCCGCCUUUUUGUCAUGAGCCCGACGCGCGCGGGCCGAAAAAAGGCGCACCCAACCUUUUGGCGGUGAUCGCGUGAUCUCUGUGGUCUCUGUUUUGGCUGCCCCGUUCUUUUUUUUGUUGUCCAAUGCGUGUGCGCCUUGAUGAGAAAAACGGAAACGGACGGCCGAGAGAAAAACGGGGGGAGGCCAGACCCUUGGGGUUCGCCGGGACAGCCGGCGGCGCCGACCUACGAAAAAAAAAAGACUCGAAAAAGGGGACAAAGGUGGAAAGAAAGAGCAACGAGAAAAAAAAAGACAAAAAUGCCAAAAGACACGCCGCGUCGUCAGUAUCGUGACGAAUUUCCGGCGCCGGGCCCGCAUGCCUGAAUGAAUCGCAGCCCAUGCCGGCGACCGCGAUUUCUGCCAUUGCCCAUGUUGGUUAUCAUAGUGAAUAAAUAAAAUAAAUA